UGGAAAAGCUUCCGCGAGAAAUUCAGAAGAAACGAAAGAGAUGGAGUCGGUCUGUAACAGUCGUCGGUGGUGGUGUUGGGUUGGAACGGCAGUGACGAGAUUACUGAGUUUGAUUGGGUUUCAUGAGUUAUGGGUUUUGAAGAAAUUAUGAAGGUUUGAUGAAUGAUAUGGGUUCGAUGAUCUGCACCAACCAUUGCGAUACUGUUUAAGU
rnacentral:lncRNA from 1 species